rnacentral:rRNA from 1 species
GACGAACGCUGGCGGCGUGCUUAACACAUGCAAGUCGAACGGAAAGGCCUGCUUUCCCUUGUGGAUUGCGGGUACUCGAGUGGCGAACGGGUGAGUAACACGUGAGUGAUCUGCCCCCAACUUGGGUAUAAGCCUGGGAAACUGGGUCUAAUUCCCGAUAGGACUGCAGGGUGGUGCCUGUGGUGGAAAACGAUUUUCUAGUGGUUGGGGAUGAGCUCGCGGCCUAUCAGCUUGUUGGUGGGGUAAUGGCCUACCAAGGCGGCGACGGGUAGCCGGCCUGGGAGGGUGGACGGCCACAUUGGGACUGAGAUACGGCCCAGACUCCUACGGGAGGCAGCAUUGGGGAAUAUUGCACAAUGGGCGGAAGCCUGAUGCAGCGACGCCGCGUGGGGGAUGACGGCCUUCGGGUUGUAAACUCCUUUCGACCGCGAGGAAGCCACCUGGUUGGAAGGGUGGUGACGGUAGUGGUAGAAGAAGCACCGGCUAACUACGUG